GAUGAACGCUGGCGGCGUGCCUAAUACAUGCAAGUCGAGCGAACAGACGAGGAGCUUGCUCCUCUGACGUUAGCGGCGGACGGGUGAGUAACACGUGGAUAACCUACCUAUAAUACUGGGAUAACUUCGGGAAACCGGAGCUAAUACCGGAUAAUAUAUUGAACCGCAUUGUUCAAUAGUGAAAGACGGUUUUGCUGUCACUUAUAGAUGGAUCCGCGCCGCAUUAGCUAGUUGGUAAGGUAACGGCUUACCAAGGCGACGAUGCGUAGCCGACCUGAGAGGGUGAUCGGCCACACUGGAACUGAGACACGGUCCAGACUCCUACGGGAGGCAGCAGUAGGGAAUCUUCCGCAAUGGGCGAAAGCCUGACGGAGCAACGCCGCGUGAGUGAUGAAGGUCUUCGGAUCGUAAAACUCUGUUAUUAGGGAAGAACAAAUGUGUAAGUAACUAUGCACGUCUUGACGGUACCUAAUCAGAAAGCCACGGCUAACUACGUG
rnacentral:rRNA from 1 species